AUUUAAAUCACAAAGAAACAGCAAGAUCCCUCCUCUUCCUUUGUUAAGAAGGGCCUCAUUGUGCUAGCUACCUGUGCUACCACGCUGACUUUAGUGCAUGUGGUUUCACGAGACGUUUUUUUCUAAGAACGUCGCUUGUUCUAAGGACUCUCACGAGGCAGGACCCCAAGAUUAAAUCAAGCCAACUAUAAAAAGAUGGAGAGGACUGGAGAUGCUUUUGCCAGACGCCAGCCUCGGUCGUUUGAUUGCGAGAUUAUAAUUGGAUCGAACUUUGCUUGAGGCCGAGAAGGGAGAGGG
rnacentral:lncRNA from 8 species